GAUGAACGCUAGCUAUAGGCUUAACACAUGCAAGUCGAGCGACCGGCGCAUGGGUGAGUAACGCGUAACCAACCUGCCCACAACUAAGGGAUAACCCAGCGGAAGGUGGACUAAUACCUUAUGGUUAUGGAUGGGGAUGCUUCUGAUUUGCUUGUUGGCGGGGUAACGGCCCACCAAGGCAACGAGCAGUAGGGGUUCGGAGAGGAGGCGCACACACAUUGGAACUGAGACCCGGCGCAAACGGCUACGAGAGGCAGGAGUUAGGAAUAGAGGGCCAGGGAUGUAAGUCUGCAACAGCCAGGUAGCGUGCAGGAUGUCGGGCUAUGGGGUGUAAUUUGCUUUUAUAAGGGUUUCGGUACCUUAUGAGAAAGGACCGGCUAAUUCCGUGCCAGCAGCCGCGGUAAUAC
rnacentral:rRNA from 1 species